GACGAACGCUGGCGGCGUGCUUAACGCAUGCAAGUCGAACGGAAAGGCCCUGCUUUUGUGGGGUGCUCGAGUGGCGAACGGGUGAGUAACACGUGAGUAACCUGCCCUUGACUUUGGGAUAACUUCAGGAAACUGGGGCUAAUACCGGAUAGGAGCUCCUGCUGCAUGGUGGGGGUUGGAAAGUUUCGGCGGUUGGGGAUGGACUCGCGGCUUAUCAGCUUGUUGGUGGGGUAGUGGCUUACCAAGGCUUUGACGGGUAGCCGGCCUGAGAGGGUGACCGGCCACAUUGGGACUGAGAUACGGCCCAGACUCCUACGGGAGGCAGCAGUGGGGAAUAUUGCACAAUGGGCGGAAGCCUGAUGCAGCAACGCCGCGUGCGGGAUGACGGCCUUCGGGUUGUAAACCGCUUUCGCCUGUGACGAAGCGUGAGUGACGGUAAUGGGUAAAGAAGCACCGGCCAACUACGUG
rnacentral:rRNA from 1 species